CGAACGCUGGCGGCGUGCUUAACACAUGCAAGUCGACCGGAAAGGCCCUGCUUGCAGGGUACUCGAGUGGCGAACGGGUGAGUAACACGUGGGUGAUCUGCCCUGCACUUCGGGAUAAGCCUGGGAAACUGGGUCUAAUACCGGAUAGGAGCCAUUUUUAGUGUGAUGGUUGGAAAGUUUUUUCGGUGUAGGAUGAGCUCGCGGCCUAUCAGCUUGUUGGUGGGGUAAUGGCCUACCAAGGCGGCGACGGGUAGCCGGCCUGAGAGGGUGGACGGCCACAUUGGGACUGAGAUACGGCCCAGGCUCCUACGGGAGGCAGCAGUGGGGAAUAUUGCACAAUGGGCGCAAGCCUGAUGCAGCGACGCCGCGUGGGGGAUGACGGCCUUCGGGUUGUAAACUCCUUUCGCUAGGGACGAAGCUUUUUGUGACGGUACCUAGAUAAGAAGCACCGGCUAACUACGUG
rnacentral:rRNA from 1 species